AUUGAACGCUGGCGGCAGGCCUAACACAUGCAAGUCGAACGAGUGGCGGACGGGUGAGUAAUGUCUGGGAAACUGCCUGAUGGAGGGGGAUAACUACUGGAAACGGUAGCUAAUACCGCAUACCAUCGGAUGUGCCCAGAUGGGAUUAGCUAGUAGGUGGGGUAAAGGCUCACCUAGGCGACGAUCCCUAGCUGGUCUGAGAGGAUGACCAGCCACACUGGAACUGAGACACGGUCCAGACUCCUACGGGAGGCAGCAGUGGGGAAUUUUGGACAAUGGGGGAAACCCUGAUCCAGCCAUCCCGCGUGUAUGAUGAAGGCCUUCGGGUUGUAAAGUACUUUUGGCAGAGAAGCGGUAUCUGCAGAAUAAGCACCGGCUAACUACGUGCCAGCAGCCGCGGUAAUUC
rnacentral:rRNA from 1 species